rnacentral:rRNA from 1 species
AUUGAACGCUGGCGGCAUGCUUUACACAUGCAAGUCGAACGGUAACAGGCCGCAAGGUGCUGACGAGUGGCGAACGGGUGAGUAAUGCAUCGGAACGUGCCCAGUCGUGGGGGAUAACGCAGCGAAAGCUGUGCUAAUACCGCAUACGAUCCGUGGAUGAAAGCGGGGGACCGAAAGGCCUCGCGCGAUUGGAGCGGCCGAUGUCAGAUUAGGUAGUUGGUGGGGUAAAGGCUCACCAAGCCAACGAUCUGUAGCUGGUCUGAGAGGACGACCAGCCACACUGGGACUGAGACACGGCCCAGACUCCUACGGGAGUCAGCAGUGGGGAAUUUUGGACAAUGGGCGCAAGCCUGAUCCAGCAAUGCCGCGUGCAGGAAGAAGGCCUUCGGGUUGUAAACUGCUUUUGUACGGAGCGAAAAGGCUCUCUCUAAUACAGGGGGCUCAUGACGGUACCGUAAGAAUAAGCACCGGCUAACUACGUGCCAGCCGCCGCGGUAAAAC